rnacentral:rRNA from 1 species
GCAAGGGGAGCGGCAGACGGGAGAGUAACACGUGGGAACGUACCCUUCAGUUCGGAACAACUCAGGGAAACUUGGGCUAAUACCGAAUACGUCCGUAAGGAGAAAGAUUUAUCGCUGAAGGAUCGGCCCGCGUCUGAUUAGCUUGUUGGUGAGGUAACGGCUCACCAAGGCUACGAUCAGUAGCUGGUCUGAGAGGAUGAUCAGCCUCACUGGGACUGAGACAUGGCCCAGACUCCUACGGGAGGCAGCAGUGGGGAAUAUUGGACAAUGGGCGCAAGCCUGAUCCAGCCAUGCCGCGUGAGUGAUGAAGGCCUUAGGG